CCUACGGGAGGCAGCAGUAGGGAAUAUUGGUCAAUGGGGGAAACCCUGAAGCAGCAACGCCGCGUGGAGGAUGAAGGUUUUCGGGUUGUAAACUCCUUUUGUUAGAGUAGAUAAUGACGGUAUCUAAAGAAUAAGCACCGGCUAACUCCGUGACAGCAGCCGCGGUAAUACGGAGGGUGCAAGCGUUACUCGGAAUCACUGGGCGUAAAGAGCGCGUAGGCGGGAUAGCAAGUCAGAUGUGAAAUCCUAUGGCUUAACCAUAGAACUGCAUUUGAUACUGUUAUUCUAGAGUAUGGGAGAGGUAGGUGGAAUUCUUGGUGUAGGGGUAAAAUCCGUAGAGAUCAAGAGGAAUACUCAUUGCGAAGGCGACCUGCUAGAACAUAACUGACGCUGAUGCGCGAAAGCGUGGGGAGCAAACAGGAUUAGAUACCCUAGUAGUC
rnacentral:rRNA from 1 species